GAUGAACGCUAGCGACAGGCCUAACACAUGCAAGUCGAGGGGCAGCAUGAAAGUAGCUUGCUACUUUUGAUGGCGACCGGCGCACGGGUGCGUAACAGGUGUGCAAUCUGUCCAUAAUCGGGGAAUAGCCCAGCGAAAGUUGGAUUAAUGCUCCAUGUGAGCCGAGGAGGCAUCUCUUUGGUUUGAAACGUAAGGAUUAUGGGUGAGCACGCUUCUGAUUAGGUAGUUGGUGAGGUAACGGCUCACCAAGCCGACGAUCAGUAGGGGUUCUGAGAGGAAGGUCCCCCANAUUGGAACUGAGACACGGUCCAAACUCCUACGGGGAGGCAGCAGUGAGGAAUAUUGGUCAAAUGGACGAAAGUCUGAACCAGCCAAGUCGCGUGAAGGAUGAAGGUUCUAUGGAUUGUAAACUUCUUUUGUUCGGGAAUAAAGUUCAGUAUGUAUACUGUUUUGUAAUGUACCGUUCGAAUAAGCAUCGGCUAAUUCCGUGCCAG
rnacentral:rRNA from 1 species